GCUUAAACCCAGGAGGUGGAGGUUGCAGUGAGGUGAGAUUGCACCAUACACUCCAGCCUAGGUGGCAGAGCAAGACUCCAUCUAAUAAAUAAAUAAAUAAAUAAAUAAAUAAAUAAAUAAGGUGAAUCAGCAGCAAGUGCCCAAGUAGAAGCUGCACCAAGUUAUCCAGAAGAUCUAAUUAAGAUCAAUAAUGGAAGUGGCUACACUAAACCGCAGAUUUUCAAUGGAGACAGAACAGUCUUCUGUUGAAAGAAGAUGGUGUCUGGGACUUUCAUAACUAGAGAAGAGUCAAUGUCUGUCUUCAAAGUGUCAAAGAAUAGGCUAACUUUCCUGUUUGGGACUAUUGUAGCUGGUGACUUUGAGUUGAAGACAAUGCUCAUUUGUCACUUUGAAAAUUCUAAGCCCCUGAAUAAUUAUGCUAAAUCAACUCUGCCUGUGCUCUAUAAAUGGAAGACAGCACUUCUGUUUACAGCAUGGUUUACUAAAUAUUUUAAGCCCAGUGAUGAGACCUACUGCUCAGAAAAAAAGAUUCCUUUCAAAAUAGUACUGCUUAUUGAUAAUGCACCUGGUCACCCAAAAGGUCUGAUGGAGAUGUACAAGAAGACAAACGUUGUUUUCAUGCAUUCAUUCUGCAGCCUAUGGAUCAAGAAGUAAUUUCGACUUUCAAGUCUUACUCUUGAAGAAAUACAUUCUGUGAGACUAUAGCUGCCGUAGAUGGUGAAUCUUCUAAUGGAUCUGGGCAAAGUAUAUUGAAAACUUUCUGGGAAGGAUUCAGCAUUCUAGAUGUGAUUAAGAGCAUUGGUGAUUCACGGGAGAACAUCAACAUUAACAGGAGUUUGGAAGAAGUUGAUUCCCACUCCCAUGAAUGACUUUGAAGUUUUCAAGAUUCAGUGAAGUAAGUAACUGUAAAUGUGGUGGAAAUAGCAAGAGAACUAGAUUUAGAAGUGGAGCCUGAAGAUGUCACUGAAUUGUUGCAGUCUCAUGAUAAAACUUGAGCAGAUGAAGAGCUGCUUCUUAUGGAUGAACCAAGUAAGUGGUCUCUUGAGAUAAAAUCUAUUCCUGGUGAAGAUGCUGUAAACAUUGUUGAGAGGAUGACAAAGGAUUUAAAAUAACCCAUAAACUUAGUUGAUAAAGCAGCAGCAGGAUUUGAGAGGAUUGAAUCCGGUUUUGAAAGAAAUUCUACUGUGACUAAAAUGCUGUCAAACAGCCUCGCAUGCCACAGAGAAGUCUUUCAUGAAAGGAAGAGUCAAUCUAUGUGACAAACUUCAUUACUAUCUUACUACAAUUAGGUUGUCUUACAGCCAGCCCAACCUUCAGCAACCACCACCCACUAUGAUUGGUCAGCAGCCAUCAACAUCAAGACAAGACACUCCACCAGCAAAAGAUGAUGACUUGCUGAAGAUAUACUUUCUACUUUUGAAACACUGACAGUUUUUAUUUUUAAAAUUAAAAAAAAUUUUUUGUACCAUUUAGUCAGACUUCAAGGAGAAGCACUGACAGUUUGUGCUGAAGGAGACAGAGAGAGAACAAAAUGAAGGAAGGCUGUUGAACUUCUCAGACCCACAGGACCAGACCACAACACUAUUCAGCUUCGAAAGGGGGAAAAGAUGACUCCAAAGGGUCUCGCUCUGUCACCCAGGCUGGAGUACUACAGUGGUGUGUUCACAGCUCACUGCAGACUCAACCUACUGGGCUCAAGAGAUCCUCCUGCCUCAGCCUCCCAAGCAGCUGGGACUACAAGCGUGAGCCACUGCACCUGGCUUCUUCAUGUUUCUUGUAUGCUUGAGUUUUGUUGAGUUUCCUGUGUCUAUCAUUUCAUCAAAGUUGAAACAAUUUUAGUCAUUAUUUCCUGUAAUAUUUUUUCUCACACCCUCCUUUCAGCGACUCCAAUUGCAUGUCUUUUGUUCUAGGAUGCAGUUAAAUUACUUGAAAAGCAUUUACUCCUUUCUUUUUUUUUUUUUU